UACGUAGGUGGCAAGCGUUAUCCGGAAUUAUUGGGCGUAAAGCGCGCGCAGGCGGUUUCUUAAGUCUGAUGUGAAAGCCCACGGCUCAACCGUGGAGGGUCAUUGGAAACUGGGGAACUUGAGUGCAGAAGAGAAAAGCGGAAUUCCACGUGUAGCGGUGAAAAUGCGUAGAGAUGUGGAGGAACACCAGUGGCGAAGGCGGCUUUUGGUCUGUAACUGACGCUGAGGCGCGAAAAGCGUGGGGAGCAACA
rnacentral:rRNA from 1 species